rnacentral:rRNA from 1 species
GAGUUUGAUCAUGGCUCAGAUUGAACGCUGGCGGCAGGCCUAACACAUGCAAGUCGAACGGUAACAGGAAGAAGCUUGCUUCUUUGCUGACGAGUGGCGGACGGGUGAGUAAUGUCUGGGAAACUGCCUGAUGGAGGGGGAUAACUACUGGAAACGGUAGCUAAUACCGCAUAACGUCGCAAGACCAAAGAGGGGGACCUUCGGGCCUCUUGCCAUCGGAUGUGCCCAGAUGGGAUUAGCUUGUUGGUGGGGUAACGGCUCACCAAGGCGACGAUCCCUAGCUGGUCUGAGAGGAUGACCAGCCACACUGGAACUGAGACACGGUCCAGACUCCUACGGGAGGCAGCAGUGGGGAAUAUUGCACAAUGGGCGCAAGCCUGAUGCAGCCAUGCCGCGUGUAUGAAGAAGGCCUUCGGGUUGUAAAGUACUUUCAGCGGGGAGGAAGGGAGUAAAGUUAAUACCUUUGCUCAUUGACGUUACCCGCAGAAGAAGCACCGGCUAACUCCGUGCCAGCAGCCGCGGUAAUACGGAGGGUGCAAGCGUUAAUCGGAAUUACUGGGCGUAAAGCGCACGCAGGCGGUUUGUUAAGUCAGAUGUGAAAUCCCCGGGCUCAACCUGGGAACUGCAUCUGAUACUGGCAAGCUUGAGUCUCGUAGAGGGGGGUAGAAUUCCAGGUGUAGCGGUGAAAUGCGUAGAGAUCUGGAGGAAUACCGGUGGCGAAGGCGGCCCCCUGGACGAAGACUGACGCUCAGGUGCGAAAGCGUGGGGAGCAAACAGGAUUAGAUACCCUGGUAGUCCACGCCGUAAACGAUGUCGACUUGGAGGUUGUGCCCUUGAGGCGUGGCUUCCGGAGCUAACGCGUUAAGUCGACCGCCUGGGGAGUACGGCCGCAAGGUUAAAACUCAAAUGAAUUGACGGGGGCCCGCACAAGCGGUGGAGCAUGUGGUUUAAUUCGAUGCAACGCGAAGAACCUUACCUGGUCUUGACAUCCACGGAAGUUUUCAGAGAUGAGAAUGUGCCUUCGGGAACCGUGAGACAGGUGCUGCAUGGCUGUCGUCAGCUCGUGUUGUGAAAUGUUGGGUUAAGUCCCGCAACGAGCGCAACCCUUAUCCUUUGUUGCCAGCGGUCCGGCCGGGAACUCAAAGGAGACUGCCAGUGAUAAACUGGAGGAAGGUGGGGAUGACGUCAAGUCAUCAUGGCCCUUACGACCAGGGCUACACACGUGCUACAAUGGCGCAUACAAAGAGAAGCGACCUCGCGAGAGCAAGCGGACCUCAUAAAGUGCGUCGUAGUCCGGAUUGGAGUCUGCAACUCGACUCCAUGAAGUCGGAAUCGCUAGUAAUCGUGGAUCAGAAUGCCACGGUGAAUACGUUCCCGGGCCUUGUACACACCGCCCGUCACACCAUGGGAGUGGGUUGCAAAAGAAGUAGGUAGCUUAACCUUCGGGAGGGCGCUUACCACUUUGUGAUUCAUGACUGGGGUGAAGUCGUAACAAGGUAACCUAGGGGAACCUGCGGUUGGAUCACC